rnacentral:snRNA from 1 species
CCUAUUGCCAUAGUGGGAGAUU